rnacentral:rRNA from 1 species
GGACUACUGGGGUUUCUAAUCCUGUUUGCUCCCCACGCUUUCGCGCAUCAGCGUCAGUAUCGGUCCAGAGAGCCGCCUUCGCCACCGGUGUUCUUCCCAAUAUCUACGAAUUUCACCUCUACACUGGGAAUUCCACUCUCCUCUCCCGAACUCAAGCAUGGCAGUAUCAAACGCUAUUCCCAGGUUGAGCCCGGGGCUUUCACGCCUAACUUCCCACGCCGCCUACGCGCCCUUUACGCCCAGUAAUUCCGAACAACGCUAGCCCCCUUCGUAUUACCGCGGCUGCUGGCAC